UGCAUUCGUAACAAAUGGGGAUCAAUCAAACCCCUAAUUAACUCGACACUAUCUGUUUAAAUUUCAGUUUAUUCUCAUAUCAUCUUAAUCCUUCAUCCAUUGAUGGAUAUCCUACUGAAGUUGAAAAUCAAAAUAGAAACAUGGGUUUGACAAUAGUAUUCUUGCAGCAAACUAAUCAUUCUCAAACUAAUGUAAAUUAACAAUAUCAGGCGAACUGGAUUAUUGGAAUUUACCAUAUGAAUUGCAGAACCAUUUCAUUCAAUAGUGACUCAUGAUCUAAUAAUUGCACUACUGAACUAACCUGCUAAACACACCACUGGAAACAAUUGCAUGUUCGAACUCUUAUGAAUCAUAGUCACACAGUUCAGUUAUGUACCCAUUGGAGCCCACUAAAAUUCUACAUUACAUUAGCAACCAGCUGAAUCCAAACUAAAUUGCUAAGACAUGGCGAAUAUAUCUAAUUAGUUUAACAAUCUGUUAUUUAACAGUCCAAAUCAGUCUAGUACAUGACAUGAAAUAACGAAGAGACUAUUGUUUUAUACAUUAGAGUUGAGCAAAUAGGGGAAAUUCAGAGAUUCACUUCAAAUAACACUUCAUUUCCAUAGAUUCGAGCUUUAGGACAUGUACCUGUGACGUGAGAUAUAAGAAAAGCAGAAGUAUCAGCAGAUCAGCAGUAAUUCAAAAUAGCAACAGCAAACACCACAACAACAACCAACCAAUAUAGGAAUGAUUCAAACCCAACCAACCAGAAAAUUUCGACAGAAAACCAACAGCAAUAGCAAAUGAACCAAAUAACUCGGAUAGCAGCACAAUGACUCGAAAAUCACACAAAUGCCUUCAAAACUAAACUUAAAUGCUUUGGAAACUUCACCAAGGUAAACUUAACCAGAAAAUCAACUCAAGCAGACCCAAAUCUAUUCAUUUCGUUUUUUUGUUUUCUAAUGUUUUUGUUUUGGACUUUGAAUAUCAAACUUAGAUCUGGAAAUUAGAAAGAAAGAGCUAUUUAGAGGGAGUUUUGAUGGCUGAAACUUCUGGAAUCUUUUCAGGGAGUCUACCUUCUAAAUGAAGGCAUUGGGGCUACCUUUUAUAGGCCAGAAAUGGGGCAGAAUGUUCUGGAGUGUUUUACUCAAU
rnacentral:lncRNA from 1 species